rnacentral:tRNA from 1 species
AUGUAGCUCAGAUAGUAGAGUACCUACCUAGCAUGCAUGAGGCCCUGGGUUCAAUCCCCAGCAU